rnacentral:rRNA from 1 species
UGAGGAACAUGACCUUCGGCGGGGGAUAGCCGGCCCAACGGCCGGGUAAUACCGCGUACGACCACAUGGGGACAUCCCUGAGUGGUGAAAGCAGCAAUGCGCCGAUGGAGUGCCUCGCGGCCUAUCAGCUAGUUGGUGAGGUAACGGCUCACCAAGGCGACGACGGGUANCUGGUCUGAGAGGAUGGCCAGCCANAUUGGAACUGAGACACGGUCCAGACU